rnacentral:rRNA from 1 species
GCUUGUCUCAAAGAUUAAGCCAUGCAUGUCUAAGUAUAAGCAUUAUACAGUGAAACUGCGAAUGGCUCAUUAUAUCAGUUAUAGUUUAUUUGAUAGUCCCUACUACUUGGAUAACCGUAGUAAUUCUAGAGCUAAUACAUGCGCACAGCCCCAACUCACGGAGGGGCGUAUUUAUUAGAUACAAACCAGCCCCCUCGGGGCCCCUGGUGAAUCAUAAUAACUGAGCGAACCGCAUGCGCGAGCGGCGGUGGUUCAUUCAAGUUUCUGCCCUAUCAGCUGUCGAUGGUAGGGUAUUGGCCUACCAUGGCGUUAACGGGUAACGGAGAAUUAGGGUUCGAUUCCGGAGAGGGAGCCUGAGAGAUGGCUACCACAUCCAAGGAAGGCAGCAGG